rnacentral:rRNA from 1 species
GACGAACGCUGGCGGCGUGCCUAAUACAUGCAAGUAGAACGCUGAAGGAGGAGCUUGCUCUUCUGGAUGAGUUGCGAACGGGUGAGUAACGCGUAGGUAACCUGCCUGGUAGCGGGGGAUAACUAUUGGAAACGAUAGCUAAUACCGCAUAAGAGUAGAUGUUGCAUGACAUUUGCUUAAAAGGUGCAAUUGCAUCACUACCAGAUGGACCUGCGUUGUAUUAGCUGGUUGGUGGGGUAACGGCUCACCAAGGCGACGAUACAUAGCCGACCUGAGAGGGUGAUCGGCCACACUGGGACUGAGACACGGCCCAGACUCCUACGGGAGGCAGCAGUAGGGAAUCUUCGGCAAUGGACGGAAGUCUGACCGAGCAACGCCGCGUGAGUGAAGAAGGUUUUCGGAUCGUAAAGCUCUGUUGUAAGAGAAGAACGAGUGUGAGAGUGGAAAGUUCACACUGUGACGGUAUCUUACCAGAAAGGGACGGCUAACUACGUG